GAAAAGUUGUGUGAUUACUUGGAGGAAAAUGAUGAAUGUCAGUAUGCUUUUCAAGAAUUACAAACUAUGUAUCUUCUGUCAUCGUACGGCCGGAGGCCACCCCAAAGCCCGACCUGCACCCGCCAGUACUCUGCUCCGCUAACGGAAAGCACCCCUAGCCAUGGCCCACCUGAGUCAAGUGAGCGGACCGCAGCCCAAGGUAGAGAAUAGUGAACCAUUUUAAUUACGCAUGCAACGCACUCCCCAUGCCUACAAAAUUCCCCACACAAUAAUAAAGUAAUCAGAAACAAACAAAAGCCCCUAAUUAAUAGAGUGCGACGUAGGAGUGCCCGGGUCACUCACGUGUAGCUUUCUACUAAAACAGCUGUGAGUGCAACCCUUGCGGCCUUCAGCCUAAAUUCAGUAGUGAAACGUGUGACGUAAUGCAAACCGCCCCAAAUUAGCAUUAUCAUUCGCCACUGGAGUAGUUACCAAGAAACAGUCAGUCUCCAGCUUGACUCCAAUAUUCAAACUUAUUUUAGACGAACUUAGUAAAUGUCAUUUCUAAAACAUAUAGAUAUUAAAUUAAUCAUUAUGUUUUAUUAUGUGAAUUUAGAGCCACUUAAAUUUAGUUAAUUAUAUAGAUUUUUACGAAUAACGGAACUUUAGAAACUCUGGCGCGACAGGGAGCUCACCCCUCCCCUCGCGCAAGGGCCGGACGCCAGUACAGCGCGACUCGCGGACCGGGACGGACGCACGUCCCACGGGGAGCCAGCAUCUCUUUGUUUCACCGAACGUCCAUCUGGUAAUUAUAGUCACAACCAAAACCUUUUUUUAAAUACUCCCCGUGUGCGCCCGGUCCUUUUCCGGUGUAGGGCCUAACCCAGCCGCGUCAAUUUAACACGCCCCACACAAAGCAUUACGUGGGGCCGUGCAGUAUACGGUACAGGCCGUCUCCCGCCACCCUAGAACUUUAGUUAAUCGCCCAGUGCACAGGCACAGGCUACAUCCAAGCUUAAACGUGUUUUUAAUUUAGUAGCGAGCCGCGGUCCACACAGGUGGGCCCGCGCGUCGCAAGUUACUGAUUACGAGAUUAGCCGAUGCUAAUCGAACGCUCUCCCUCAACUGCGACUGGCGUGAGGACUUAAUAAGUAAACACACGUAGAGGCACGCAGGUGUCCCUCUCAGAUAACGUGUGCAGUGUAAUCGUGUACGUAAAAGCACCACAGAGUGCCGUUUUGUCAAGUGUAAUUGUAAUAAUAGUGUAAUCAAAAUUUCUACGUGUUCCGACGCCUCAUUGGCAGUCAUGUACCGCCGAGUAGACCUCGCGCCCAAUGUAAUGAACCAGUGUAAAUCGUGAACAAUAAAACGUCCACCCAGCACCUCCCGUGCGCGACGUGCGACCCGUAGAACAACCAGAACAGUGUAUGUAAAUUAACCUAAACAACCCAACCUAGUCAGGAAACAAAUUCCAUCACUGCCGACGGUUCUAGCGGACCACGCUGGGACAAAGAACCCACGACCAUCACACGGUUAGACACCGAGCUAGCCUGGCGCCCUCCCGGAACAGAAAUCUCUAAGAAAGCCAGCCACCCCGCUAGGACCUGCGCCCGACCUCGAACACGAGACCGCGGCGGACGGGGACAGCCUAAGUUUCACCCCCAUAGAUCGACAUGCCCUUCGGGCUGGUUCGUACAUGUUCGGUUUUUUUUUUUUUUUUUUUAUCUGUACGUUCAAAACAAACAUUGCAAUAUUGAUCAAAAAAUUGUUGACUAAUGUUAUUUUAUAUUUUUUUAAGAGUAAAACACAUGUACACAAAUAUUUCCUUUUACUAAUUAUGAGAUUUUCAGGUAGCGUGUGGAGAUUUCAUCUUAUGUUCAUGAGCGCACAACGUAUAAAAUAUAAAAUCAUAAGAAAUGUUUUCUGGUGGUGUGUAGCAGUUAACCGCAUUUAAGUAAAAGUAUUUUAAAAUGAUUGUUACCAGAGCUGAAUUACAUUGAGGUGAGUGCACUUAAUAUAAUUUGGGGUAUUGCAGGAAAAAUUAUAAAUUCCUAAAGUGUUUUUUACUUCCUGACAUGUUUAAAAUUAUUAUUCUCUAUGAGGGUUGUUUGAUACUGCAAGUAGUUUAUCAUGUUUAACAUGUGGAUAGGUUAGGAUUAUUUAUUACAAAUCUGUAAUAUUGAGAUACUGCCCUUGGGUUAGCUGGAUUAAAAAUACAGUGAAAUUUGUUAGGUUAGUAACAUUAUACGUACAGUGAUUCUAAGUACAGUGGAAUUUACAUUUGGUUAGCUUGGAAUAGCACCAAUUAAAAAUUCUGUAAAAUCAAUUGAACGGUUGGAUGUUACUAACCUAAUCUAACCAACCAAUAUACAUUUUACAGUGAUUUUUUUAGGUUAUUAUCUCACAUUGCUGCUUUUUGUAUGCAAAAUAAACUUUGGACACUUUUUUUUUAACUUUAAAUAUGUACCUGUAUUUACUCUGAAAAAAGUUUUUUCUAAAUUCAGACUGGUUUUUGAGAAAUCACUGUUUAUAGGUUACAUUACAUUACCUGUGCAGUAAAGGGCCUGUCACCAUGUUGUUCUUUAAUUGAGUUGCAGAUCUUGUUGUUUUUCAUACACAAAUUGUCUAUUUUUUAUUUGGAUAUUGCAAUGCAGUAACAUAAAUUAACACAUUAAAAAAGUUAUGUGACUCCUUAUUGUGCAUUCCAAACCCAAAGCAUCAGUCCUUGAGAGCGAUAUUUUUUAGCAGUUUAUAGGUGCAAAAUUCUGAUUUUUUACGUGAGACAACACAUAACCUGACAUAUAAAAUAAAUUUUCAUUUUGUAACAAAUGAUUCCUUUUAUACGUCAGGUUACGUGCUAUUGCAGGUAACUAAUCUGCGCUUUGCGCCUCCAUACUGCUAUAAAAAAUCCCUGUCAAGGGUUGGCGUUUUGGUUUGGAUACACAUUAGAGACUCGUAACUUUUUUUAAAACUAUUAUUUACGUUUCAUUAGGUUAUAAUAUUCAAAUAAAAAAUAUAUACAUUCUUAUAUAUAUGGAAAACCACAGGAUCUGCUAUGCAAUUAGAGGGGAAAAUGGUAACAGCUGCUUCACUGCAUAAGCUAUCUAGCGUGACCUGCAAAAUGUGAUUUCUUGAAAACCAGUAGGAAUUAAGAAAAGCUGUUUACAGUUUUAAUAGAGGAAGGUUUUUAGUGUCUGAAGCGGUAUUUUCAAAAUUUUAUAAUUUAAUUUAUGGAUAAGCAGCAACAAAAGAAAAUUACUUUUUUUAAAUUUAGCUAACCAACCAUUCACAUGAUUUUACAAAUUUUGUAUUGUUUAUACUUACCUACUUUAACAUUAAACUACUGUUAAACAAUUUAUUUCAAUUUUUUAAAAAUAUAUUUGGGAAUUAGCGCAGUAUAAUCGAAGACGUUUACUGUAUUGAUGAUUGAUUUACUUUAUUGAUGCACAAUGAAGUUGUAUAAUUGUUGGAUUGGUUAAGCAAAUUCAAGCAUCAAGGGUACUGAUCAAUGGUUUUUAACAUUAUAUUUUCUUAAUGAAUCCAUUGGUAAAACGUUAAAACACUGGAAUGGCUAAAUUUCCAUCGACUGCUUAUGUUUUUUUCCGCAUGCUCACUUGAAAACAAUUACAGGGUUAUACUGUAGUUCACAGUUGCAAUACUUGGUUAGGUUAGUUACAUAAGUGCUGUUAAAUCAUGAAAAUGGUUAGGGAAAGGUAACUUCUUCAUAACUACUGUAAAAUGGUGUAAGCAAUUAUUCUUUAGGUAAGUUUACCUAGACUUUAAAAAUAAUUUAUUUGGCGAAGUACAUAGUACUAAGAAUUACUAUUUAUCAAAUUUGGUUUGUGUGGAAAAGUUGUUACUCUAGGAAAUUUCUGAAUCCAUCUUUGUAGGAAUAUAAACUAAUAUUAUUAGAAACAAAAAAAGAACAAUGUGUGGUAUAUUUUAAUUUUCUAACACGCUCUGAACUCUGCAGUUAUGCGAUUACCGAUAAUAAUUGUAAAUCAUUGCAAUAUACAUCCGACACAUUUUGUAGUGAUUUCACAACUGUACUAUGAAGUAAUGCCAUCGACUGCUGCAAAAUAACAUGCUGACAUCUAUUCUUGUGUAGGCAUUUUGUUGAUACAACUAAAAUAUGAACAUAUAGGAUAUAUAUAGAAUCUUACAAAUUUUGGUAACCUACCUACUAAUACUCUCCCCAAAGACUUUGGUUAGAUACUUAAAAAAAAAAAAAAAAAAAAAAAAAAUUAACUGCUUUUGUGACAUGCAUUACGUGAAAUUAAUUCAACUUGUAAAAAUUUUGCUUGAGUCAAAGCCUAGAUUUGCUUAAGCUAAUAACAAGCAAUUACAUCACUUGAGGCCCUGAGAAAUAAACUUCUAAAAUUGUGUAGUUACUUGGAUUGUUAAAUACCUAGUUUUUCUGCAAUAAUGGGCACAAGAGCAAUAGAAUUAUGUUUUUCAUAUAAUUUUUUUUCACAUAAAUGAGUUUUUGUCAAAAAGUAUUUGGAAAAAAUAUCUAUUUGAAAGGACAAAGAAAAAUGUUAAUUGUAGUACAUAAAUGAGAAUAUACCAAAAUAUUUAAUGUAUCAAAUUUCUAACUAAAAUGGUUUUGAAAUUAAUUUAUCAUUCUGGUAUGCAUAACUUUUUUCUUUGAUACAUUUAUUUAUCAGUUUCAUUUCUCUUUAGCACAAUAUAAAUCAUUUAACUUUGAUUUCUUUUUUGUUUCAGGCUUGUGGAGAACAGCUUUUUUUUAAUCUACUCUUUGGCUGGCGAAUGUAAAUAAGCAAUGAUUUCGUGAAUGCAGCGAGAGAGUUUAUUUGAUGUAUUUUAAAAUCACUGAUAAUAUUUAUUGAUGUAUUUUAAAAUCACUGAUAAUAUUUAUUGAUGUAUUUUAAAAUCACUGAUAAUAUUUGUUUUGUGGCUGGAAGAUGGUAACCAUGGUGACUUGUGAAUUUUUAUGAAGAUUAAUAAAAAGCAGUAAAAAUUA